rnacentral:ncRNA from 1 species
GUCACGCGAGCAGCAACGGCUGGUGGUGAGUACCCUCACUCCCUGGCCUACCUUGAGAACGGGAUAGUUCUCCAGGCUGUUUGCGGGUUCCGUUAGGUGGCGAUGUAAAGGCCACUCGGGCUCGACACUGCGCUACCUCGCAGGUCACCGAUACACGGGUUUCGUGAUCGUGGUCGUGUGUAGCGGUCCGGACCGAUCCGGCCAGUG